UACAGAGGGUGCGAGCGUUAAUCGGAUUUACUGGGCGUAAAGCGUGCGUAGGCGGCUUUUUAAGUCGGAUGUGAAAUCCCCGAGCUUAACUUGGGAAUUGCAUUCGAAACUGGCGGACUAGAGUUCGGGAGAGGAGAGUGGAAUUCCUGGUGUAGCGGUGAAAUGCGUAGAUAUCAGGAGGAACACCGGCGGUGAAGACAGCUCUCUGGUCCGGACCUGACGCUGAGGCGCGAAAGCGUGGGGAGCAAACAGG
rnacentral:misc_RNA from 1 species